rnacentral:lncRNA from 1 species
CAAGACCAUCAACAGCUAUUUAGACUCUCAAAAUCGAGCACCGGAGAGCUGCCGGGAAGCACAUUUCUUAAGAGAGUUAACAGAACAUCUCCGGAGAAGUGGGCAAGGCAGGCGUAGGCGGAACACAAACACACACAGACAUUCCCGAUUCCUGCCCCAGGAGGGAUGCCGCCAGGAACCUUGAGGAAAGCCUGUGCUAGGCCAGCUGCAG